UCUAGAAUGAACUUAGAAAUCAUGUAAAAAAUAAUGAGGAAACAGAGGGAUGGUAAAGUUUUAAUGUCUUAUCUAAUUUCACACAACUCAGUUAUGGCAGGGACACAGGGUCUUUGAUUAGCCAGUGAGUUCGGACAGAGAGAAGGAUUUAUUAGAGAGGGAACCCUAUUCUCAAGAAGCAUAUCAUUCAGAAUAGGAGUUUAGACAUGUAAAUAAAAACCUGUAUUUCAAAAUUAAAAAUGAAAAUGUAGUGAGGACAUAUUAUGGGCAGUAGUGGUAGUCUGAGGUCUGCUUUUAGAAAUAAUCACCAAUCUCAACUGAGUACUAGAAGAGUGAGAUUCAGAAAUACAGAGGACUACCAAAAACGAAUUUUGGCUGUGAGGAGGAAGCGCUGGUCCAAGCUACAUCCAACCUUAGGUUUUAUCCAUCAGGUUUGUGGUUGUGGUUUGUGGCACAUAGAUUCUAAAGAAGCCCUUGAUCUCUGACUUCUGUCGUCCCCUACCGUUGAGUGUUACCUGUGACUUGCUUCUAAUCAAGGAAAUGUGAGAUAAGCUACCAUGAAACCUACCUCUGCAAGGAAAUAAAUACUGUCAACCGUCUGAGGGAGUGUGGAAACAGAUCCUUCCCUAGCCAAGACUAAUGAGACCUCAUUCUUGGGACCAGUGCCUGCCAUCUGAUGGCAUCUGAAGUCUUGGUGAGGAUUGGAUAAAGGAAAAAACUCCCCGAGCUAAUGUCUCAGGGGGAACAGGGCAAUGUCACACUGGGCAGGAGUGUGGCAGAGCAAAGGAAAAACCCAGUGUACAAAGCCUGAUCUAGCUGCCGCUUCCAUGAACCCACCCAGGGAUCCAGCCAUGAAGAAUGCUGUUAGUCUGGAGAGACCACCCUUAAUUGAGUCUGGAGUUUUUCUCUAACUUUGAACAUCUUGUUAUUUCUCUGAUUCUUCAUUUCCUGGAUGGUUUCAACUGGAAGAACUUCUUCAAACAUCAAUAAGACAAUCUAAUCAUAGCUAAUAAGGCCAGAGGCUACUGAAUGUUCUUGAUCACCCCUGAAGAGUAAGAAGCCAGUCUGAACUUGGUGACUAUAAUAUUGAGGUCAAUGACCUUACAGAUGCCAAACACUCUAGGAUGUUCCAUGGGGAAAGUGGUCGUUGCACUUUUUUAAGAAUUUUUUUUUUUUUUUUUUGUUCAUUUUAAAAGAAUUUAAGGAAAGGUCUUCCAAAGUUCCAGGCCAAAGAGCAAGACGCAGUAUAGCGUUCAACUGUGUUUAAAUAAAUGUGCCUCUCAUUAGCUGUAUGACUAUGGCCAAGUUAUGUAACAUAUCUAAUCUCAGUUUCCUCUUUGGUAAAGUAGAGCUAAUAAUACCUACCACAUGGGAGUGCAAUGAGGAAUAGAUAAGAUAAUCUAUACUCUGGUGCCAAGUGGCUAAGUAUUAUUAGCAAUUUAGAUCCAGGAAAGCCAAAAUUAGGCUUUUCUGAUCAGAAUCUCUGUAGUGAAAUUAACAGGAAUGGGGCAAUAUAUACCAAUUCCAUCAUUUGCUAAAUGUUUGACAUUGGAAUUGCUUUAUUCUCUGACCUCAGUUUUCUCAUCUAUGAGAUGGGAAUAUAAAAGGUAUCUGAUUUAUCAUGUUGCUCUGAGAAUUAAAUGAGUUAAUGCACUGUGGCAGAGACUUGCUAGAUAUGUAACAAAAUUGUUCCCUUUGCGGGAUGGAGGUGGUGGUGGGCAUCAACAGACUGCAUUUCUCAGCCUCCUCGAAUCUCAAUAAGGCUCUGUGAUUGAGUUCUGGUCAGUGGAAUGUAGAUGUAACUGUAGUUGUAACUGAUAUAUUUUGCAUGGUGUAAGAAUCAUCCCUAAAACUUCCCUUGUGAUCCUCUACACUCUCUUUUCACAUCUGCUGGGUAGAUUCACAGGGUUCACAGGAGGGAACUCCAGACCUUGGGGAAGGCAGAGCACCAUGUGAAAGGAACCUGGCUUCCUGAAUGUGCAGAGCAUUAACACUCAAGACCCCUUCCCCAUGCCAACUUGUUAUGGAUCAUGGUUCAAAUUACUGAGAUUCUAGAAUUGUUAAAAUAAUUAAUGUGUUCUGAUAUACUUGUUUUCAUAAAGCACAAAGUAAUUCCUCAGUAAAUGCUGGCCAUUAUUAUUAUUGUUAUUAUCUCACUGACUACAAUGGUUGAAUGAACA